rnacentral:rRNA from 1 species
CAAUAGCGUAUAUUAAAGUUGUUGCGGUUAAAAGCUCGUAGUUGGAUUUCUGCCGAGGACGACCGGUCCGCCCUCUGGGUGAGCAUCUGGGACGGCCUGGGCAUCCUCUUGGGGAACGUAGCUGCACUUGACUGUGUGGUGCGGUAUCCAGGACUUUACUUGAGGAAAUUAGAGUGUUUCAAGCAGGCGCACGCCUUGAAUACAUUAGCAUGGAAUAAUAAGAUAGGACCUCGGUUCUAUUUUGUUGGUUUCUAGAGCUGAGGUAAUGAUUAAUAGGGACAAUUGGGGCGAUUCGUAUCAACACGUUAGAGGUGAAAUUCUUGGAUCGUGUUGCGACGAACUACUGCGAAAGCAUUUGCCAAGGAUGUUUUCAUUGAUCAAGAACGAAAGUAAGGGGAUCGAAGAUGAUUAGAU